CCUGCCCCCCGCCCAGGGACAGCCCCCCGAAAGGGGGAUUAAUACCUGGUACUCCGGAAGCGGCGCAUGCCGCAUCCGGGAAAGCUCUCGCGGCGGGGGAUGGGGUCGCGGCCCAUCAGGUAGACGGCGGGGCAGAGGCCCACCGUGCCGACGACGGGUAGCCGGGUUGAGAGACCGACCGGCCACAUUGGGACUGAGAUACGGCCCAGACUCCUACGGGAGGCAGCAGUGGGGAACUUUGCGCAAUGGGGGCAACCCUGACGCAGCAACGCCGCGUGCGGGACGAAGGCGUCCGCGUCGUAAACCGCUUUCAGCGGGGAACACCUAAACGAGGGUACCCGCAGAAGAAGCCCCGGCUAAAUACGUGCCAGCAGCCGCGGUAAUACGUAUGGGGCGAGCGUUAUCCGGAUUCAUUGGGCGUAAAGCGCGCGUAGGCGGAGCGCUAAGCGGGACCUCUAACCCGAGGGCUCAACCCCCGGCCGGGUCCCGAACUGGCGCUCUCGAGUGCGGUAGGGGAGAGCGGAAUUCCCGGUGUAGCGGUGGAAUGCGCAGAUAUCGGGAAGAACACCGACGGCGAAGGCAGCUCUCUGGGCCGAAACUGACGCUGAGGCGCGAAAGCUGGGGGAGCGAACGGGAUUAGAUACCCUGGUAGUCCCAGCCGUAAACGAUGGGCGCUAGGUGUGGGGGAUGAGAUCCCCCGUGCCGCAG
rnacentral:rRNA from 1 species